CCCACCGUGGUCGACGUCACCGCAAACCACCACCGCACCACUCCCUCCUGCCCCCUCCUCUCUCCUUUUAAUCCGCACCCUGGAAACCCUAGACCACCUCCUCCCUCUCGCCGCCGCCACCAUCUCUCUUCCCCUUUCCUUCUUCUCUGUCACGAACGGAGUCACAAAGCCACAGAGAAAACCCUCACACCAACCACACAAACCUCGCCGUCGCCGGCGCUGCAGAGCACCCCGCGCUGAUAUGAGGGCAUCAGGAGAACCGCCUCGUCACCCUCUACGUCCGGCUGCAAGGAAUCGAGCCGGGGCUCUUCCAAUCGACGGCAGUUUCGCCGAUACCGUCUCCGACCUCGGCUGUAAAAGCUUCGAUUGCGGCCGUCUCCGACCCCUUCCACCAUCUCCGACCUUCUCCUCACGUUCCUGGUACAACCAUCGGCGCUGCUCCCUGUGUGUCCCCGGCUUCAACUCUGCUAGAUUCCGCAUCCGUGUGAAGUUCCGCGUCGAGCGCGCCCUGUCCCGCUUCCCAGUUCACCCGCCAUCGUCAGAUCCAUAGCUGUCUACAAGCUCCGCCAUGGCUGUUUUACCAGGAGUUUCCGCCAUGGUAUGGUUCAAAAGAAGACCUGGUUCAUUCCGUACAGCAUCUGAACCGCACCACAGUGAUGGGUCCCAUCUCAGUGUCCACCGGCGCCAAGUCAGCAGCUCCCUGUCCCAGUCAGCACUCCCUGGCCCCGCGCGUCAGUCGCUCAGGCUAGCCUGUGCCUGGCAUUUGCUUCUUCCCGGAUAGGAUCGCGAAGUGGUGUGGUGAGAUACGACAAGUCCUCCGGAUCUUCCUCGGCAAGCUUUAA